CAGCCGCCGCGGUAAUACAGAGGGUGCGAGCGUUAAUCGGAUUUACUGGGCGUAAAGCGUGCGUAGGCGGCUUCUUAAGUCGGAUGUGAAAUCCCUGAGCUUAACUUAGGAAUUGCAUUCGAUACUGGGAAGCUAGAGUAUGGGAGAGGAUGGUAGAAUUCCAGGUGUAGCGGUGAAAUUCGUAGAGAUCUGGAGGAAUACCGAUGGCGAAGGCAGCCAUCUGGCCUAAUACUGACGCUGAGGUACGAAAGCAUGGGGAGCAAACAGGAUUAGAUACCCCAGUAGUCCCUGUCUUUAUACA
rnacentral:rRNA from 1 species